UACGUAGGGUGCGAGCGUUGCCCGGAUUUAUUGGGCGUAAAGGGCGCGUAGGCGGCUCGGCACGUCCGUUGUGAAAUCGCCCGGCUCAACUGGGCGGGGUCAGCGGAUACGGUCGAGCUUGAGCAAGCUAGGGGGUAAUGGAAUUCCCGGUGUAGUGGUGGAAUGCGUAGAUAUCGGGAGGAACACCAGUGGCGAAGGCGACUUCCUGGCCUGUUCUUGACGCUGAGGCGCGAAAGCUAGGGGAGCAAACAGG
rnacentral:rRNA from 1 species